ensembl:snRNA U6 U6 spliceosomal RNA
GUGCUUCCUUCAGCUGCACAUAUACUAAAAUUGGACCAAUGCAGAGAAGAUUGGCAUGGUCCCUGUGCAAGGAUGACAUGCAAGUUCAUGAAGCAUUCCAUGUUUAA